rnacentral:rRNA from 1 species
GACGAACGCUGGCGGCGUGCUUAACACAUGCAAGUCGAACGGAAAGGCCCUGCUUUUGUGGGGUGCUCGAGUGGCGAACGGGUGAGUAACACGUGAGUAACCUGCCCUUGACUUUGGGAUAACUUCAGGAAACUGGGGCUAAUACCGGAUAGGAGCUCCUGCUGCAUGGUGGGGGUUGGAAAGUUUCGGCGGUUGGGGAUGGACUCGCGGCUUAUCAGCUUGUUGGUGGGGUAGUGGCUUACCAAGGCUUUGACGGGUAGCCGGCCUGAGAGGGUGACCGGCCACAUUGGGACUGAGAUACGGCCCAGACUACUACGGGAGGCAGCAGUGGGGAAUAUUGCACAAUGGGCGGAAGCCUGAUGCAGCAACGCCGCGUGCGGGAUGACGGCCUGCGGGUUGGAAACCGCUUUCGCCUGUGACGAAGCGUGAGUGACGGUAAUGGGUAAAGAAGCACCGGCUAACUACGUG